GUCUUAUCACGAGCGGUGGAGGGACUGGCCCUUUGAAACCCAGCAACCUGUGUAUAUAUAUUGAAUCAUAUAUCUUUAUAUGUGCAUCAUGGUGCUAAAUCCUGCAGCUUUUUUGAGCUGGAAGAUAAGAG
rnacentral:ncRNA from 1 species